rnacentral:rRNA from 1 species
AGGGUAAAGCUAGCCGGGAGGCCUACACAUGCAGUCGAGGGGUAACGGCAGUAGCUUGCUACUAGACGACGACCGGCGCACGGGUGAGUAACGCGUAUGUAAUCUGCCUUGUACAGAGGGAUAGCCCAGAGAAAUUUGGAUUAAUACCUCAUAGUAUUACCGAAUCGCAUGAUUCGGUAAUUAAAGCUCCGGCGGUACAAGAUGAACAUGCGUGACAUUAGCUAGUUGGUAAGGUAACGGCUUACCAAGGCUACGAUGUCUAGGGGUUCUGAGAGGAUGAUCCCCCACACUGGUACUGAGACACGGACCAGACUCCUACGGGAGGCAGCAGUGAGGAAUAUUGGUCAAUGGACGCAAGUCUGAACCAGCCAUCCCGCGUGAAGGAUGACUGCCCUAUGGGUUGUAAACUUCUUUUAUAUGCAAAUAAACCUACUUUCGUGAAAGUAGCUGAAGGUAGCAUAUGAAUAAACACCGGCUAACUCCGUGCCAGCAGCCGCGGUAAUACGGAGGGUGUAAGCGUUAUCCGGAUUUAUUGGGUUUAAAGGGUACGUAGGCGGUAAUAUAAGUCAGUGGUGAAAUCCUGCAGCUCAACUGUAGAACUGCCAUUGAAACUGUAUUACUUGAGUAUACUUGAGGUAGGCGGAAUGAGUAGUGUAGCGGUGAAAUGCUUAGAUAUUACUCAGAACACCGAUUGCGAAGGCAGCUUACUAAGGUAUAACUGACGCUGAUGUACGAAAGCGUGGGGAGCGAACAGGAUUAGAUACCCUGGUAGUCCACGCCGUAAACGAUGAUUACUCGCUGUUGGCGAUACACAGUCAGUGGCCAAGCGAAAGUUUUAAGUAUCCACCUGGGGAGUACGCUCGCAAGAGUGAACUCAAAUGAAUUGACGGAAAGGCGAAU